ensembl:lncRNA
CGCUGUUGUACAAGGGGAUGCACAAUCUCUAUUUGGUUGCGGGAAAUAUGUUUUAUUUUCUAAAUUAAGAAAUGACCGAAAACUUUUAAUGUAUCCCGGGUUUCGGACUGUAUCAGCAGACACUUUCAGCUGAGGAUGCCUUCACCGACAGAGCCGACGAUCACAUGUUUGAUCGGGAUGGUGUUAUGUCAUUUUUCCGACUGCUUUACAAACUAACGUUAGCAGGUAAACUUGAAAAAAUAAGCCGUGGCAGAAAGCUUCACCUUUAUCGCAACAUUUGACCGAAAAGACCCGAAAGCUUGUUUUCUGACUACUUUGAUCCGUGUUAAUUCGCUUAUGUGCUGUUUUUGCUUUUCGAUUUUUUAUUUGCUCUGUUCGGAUAAAUUGGAUUGGAUUAAAAAGCUAAAGGACCUUGUCGAGUUGGUGGCUUUGCAUUGGAAAUAGUGCUGAAUAUACCUAACUUGUGGACUGAAUACGAAAAGUCUCUUUAAUGCACAGAAAUAACUGUAUUUGCUUCAUGUUUACGCCGACGAAAUCAACCUGAGGAGUUUAUACUAAGUUUGAGUGCGAUCCGAUAAACCAGCUGUGGCUCGAGCUCACAUCUGUUCUUUAAAUUAGUGUAUCAAGCUGACACUAUUUCGUUUAAAAUCUUCAACAAAAUGCGAUAGACACGGGAAAGCAGUCCACUCAGUUAAAUUGGAUCGGGUAUUUUGGCGUGAGGCCUGCUGGUCGGGCUUUUGCCGGGUGAGAUUUGGGGGUAAGGCCGCGUCAGGUCGCGUUCAGGCCGGCCGUGGGUGACGCGCAGUCCCGGCGCCAGAGGACGAGCUAUGGAGAGGAUGGAGGUGGACCAGUGCGCAGGCGCAGGAGGAGCCCUCCGAAGGUCCAACAGCGCCCCCAUGAUCACGAACGUCAGUGAUGGGACGACAGUAUUCAGCUCUAAUAGUUCGACUCGGUAUCGUCGGAGCAGCGUUUCUGUGAACCCAAGCUGUCCCUCACGGACCCUUCCUCUGUCCCCAUUCUCGCUGUCUUGUGAGAGAUCCGAACACAAGAGACAGAUUGAGAAUAUGGAACUCACUUUGAGAGGAAGUUUACAGAGACUAAGGUAACCAAACACAAAAUUGUGCAUAAAUGAAAGGGUUAUGUAUGUUAUCAAAAUAUUCACUUAUUUUAACUUGAUUUCCUCUCAUCUAAGUGCCUCGCCUGCUGUUCCCUUCCCUCCUGCCAGUCAUUGGCAUGACCAUCUGUCUCCAGUGAGUAUUUCUCUUUGGGUUUCAGGUCAUCAGUUUCAAUCCAUUGUCGUUAUUGUUAUUCACCUCUGUACGUCCCAUGCAGGGAUUCCAUUCCCAGGACAGCGGUGUCACUCCUAAUUCCUCACCCAGUCCAACUCGGAGGUUUCGAGGGUAGGCCUGAGUAAAACUACAGUAUUAGAAUGUAUAUCCUUCAAAUGUCAAUACCAGCAGGAAUUUGGUCUCAUAUUUAGUUGUUUCAAAAUACAAGAGACACAAAUAUCUUUUCUGAACAAAGAUUUUGAUUUGUUUUUGAAUGAACAGAGGAUCUGUGAGCUCUGGAGUGAGAUGGCCAUCAGUUGCACCUUUGAAAAGGAAAGGUAAUGAUUUAUAACCUGUUUCUUCUAAAUGCAUUUGAAAAAGAACAUUAGAAACUUAU